rnacentral:rRNA from 1 species
CCAGUAAACGGCGGCCGUAACUAUAACGGUCCUAAGGUAGCGAAAUUCCUUGUCGGGUAAGUUCCGACCUGCACGAAUGGCGUAAUGAUGGCCAGGCUGUCUCCACCCGAGACUCAGUGAAAUUGAACUCGCUGUGAAGAUGCAGUGUACCCGCGGCAAGACGGAAAGACCCCGUGAACCUUUACUAUAGCUUGACACUGAACAUUGAGCCUUGAUGUGUAGGAUAGGUGGGAGGCUUUGAAGUGUGGACGCCAGUCUGCAUGGAGCCAACCUUGAAAUACCACCCUUUAACGUUUGAUGUUCUAACCUAGGCCCAUAAACUGGGUCGGGGACCGUGUCUGGUGGGUAGUUUGACUGGGGCGGUCUCCUCCUAAAGAGUAACGGAGGAGCACGAAGGUUGGCUAAGCAUGGUCGGACAUCAUGCGGUUAGUGCAAAGGCAUAAGCCAGCUUGACUGCGAGAGUGACGGCUCGAGCAGGUACGAAAGUAGGUCUUAGUGAUCCGGUGGUUCUGAAUGGAAGGGCCAUCGCUCAACGGAUAAAAGGUACUCCGGGGAUAACAGGCUGAUACCGCCCAAGAGUUCAUAUCGACGGCGGUGUUUGGCACCUCGAUGUCGGCUCAUCACAUCCUGGGGCUGAAGUAGGUCCCAAGGGUAUGGCUGUUCGCCAUUUAAAGUGGUACGCGAGCUGGGUUUAGAACGUCGUGAGACAGUUCGGUCCCUAUCUGCCGUGGGCGUUGGAAGAUUGAGAGGGGUUGCUCCUAGUACGAGAGGACCGGAGUGAACGCACCACUGGUGUUCGGGUUGUCAUGCCAAUGGCAUUGCCCGGUAGCUAAGUGCGGAAGAGAUAACCGCUGAAAGCAUCUAAGCGGGAAACUUGCCUCGAGAUGAGUCUUCCCUGUCGCUUUAAGCGACCUAAAGGAACGUUUAAGACUAAGACGUUGAU